rnacentral:rRNA from 1 species
GUUAGGAAUAUUGGACAUUGGGCGAAAGCCUGAUCCAGCCAUGCCGCGUGAACGAUGAAGGCCUUCGGGUUGUAAAGUUCUUUAGCCGAUGAUUAUAAUGACUGUAGUCGGAAAAUAAGCCCCGGCUAACUUCGUGCCAGCAGCCGCGGUAAUACGAAGGGGGCGAGCGUUAUUCGGAAUCACUGGGCGUAAAGCGUGCGUAGGCGGUUUUGUAAGUUAGGAGUGAAAGCCCAGGGCUCAACCUUGGAAUUGCUCUUAAAAAUGCAAGGCUCGAAUCUCGAAGAGGAUAGCGGAAUUUCCAGUGUAGCAGUGAAAUGCGUAGAUAUUGGAAGGAACACCAGUGGCGUAAGCGGCUAUCUGGACGAGUAUUGACGCUGAGGCACGAAAGCGUGGGGAUCAAACAGGAUUAGAUACCCGAGUAGUCC